rnacentral:rRNA from 1 species
UUUUUUAGACCGCCUGUUUAUCAAAAACAUGUCCUAUUGUAUUUUUUAAUAGGUCUGGCCUGCCCAGUGAUAAUUUCAACGGCCGCGGUAUAUUGACCGUGCAAAGGUAGCAUAAUCAUUAGUCUUUUAAUAGGAGGCUGGAAUGAAAGUUUUAACGAGAAAUAGACUGUCUCAAUUGCAAUCUUGAAUUUAUCUUUUGAGUCAAAAGACUUAAAUUUAAUUGGUGGACGAGAAGACCCUAUAGAGCUUGACAAUUAUUUUUUUUAUAUUUAUUUAGUAAAUUAUUUAUUUAUAUUAAAAAUAUUGUUUUGUUGGGGUGACAAUAAAUAUAUAUUUAACUUUUAUUAUAAUAUUAACAUUAAGUUAUGAUUUUUGGAUCCAAAAUUUUUGAUCAAUAGAUUAAGUUACCUUAGGGAUAACAGCGUAAUCUUCCCUCAGAGUUCAUAUUUACGGGAAGGGUUGCGACCUCGAUGUUGGAUUAAGAUAAUAAUUAGGUGCAGUAGCUUAAUUAAUAGGUCUGUUCGACCCAUAAAUCCUACAUGAUCGUUUUGUC